rnacentral:rRNA from 1 species
AUUGAACGCUGGCGGCAUGCUUUACACAUGCAAGUCGAACGGCAGCGCGGGCUUCGGCCUGGCGGCGAGUGGCGAACGGGUGAGUAAUAUAUCGGAACGUACCCAAGAGUGGGGGAUAACGUAGCGAAAGUUACGCUAAUACCGCAUACGAUCUAAGGAUGAAAGCAGGGGAUCGCAAGACCUUGUGCUCCUGGAGCGGCCGAUAUCUGAUUAGCUAGUUGGCGAGGUAAAGGCUCACCAAGGCAACGAUCAGUAGCUGGUCUGAGAGGACGACCAGCCACACUGGAACUGAGACACGGUCCGGACUCCUACGGGAGGCAGCAGUGGGGAAUUUUGGACAAUGGGGGCAACCCUGAUCCAGCAAUGCCGCGUGAGUGAAGAAGGCCUUCGGGUUGUAGAGCUCUUUUGUCAGGGAAGAAAAGGUCGUGGCUAAUAUCCACGACUGCUGACGGUACCUGAAGAAUAAGCACCGGCUAACUACGUGCCAGCCGCCGCAGUAACAC